rnacentral:rRNA from 1 species
ACGGGGUAGGAAUGGUCGGUGACGUACCCUUCGGACGGGGAUAGCCACGGGAAACUGUGGGUAAUACUCGAUAAACUCCCGGAACGUAAUGGUUUUGGGAGCAAAGGUGAGAUUCCACCGGAGGAGCGGCUGACUUAGUAUUAGCUAGUUGGUGAGGUAAAAGCUCACCAAGGCUUCGAUGCUUAGGGGGUGUGAGAGCAUGACCCCCACCACUGGGACUGAGAUACUGCCCAGACACCUACGGGUGGCUGCAGUCGAGGAUCUUCGGCAAUGGGCGCAAGCCUGACCGAGCGACGCCGCGUGUGGGAUGAAGGCCCUUGGGUUGUAAACCACUGUCGAGGGGAAUGAAAUGCGUGUGGGUACUCCCAUGCGUUUGACGGAACCCUGGAGGAAGCACGGGCUAAGUUCGUGCCAGCAGCCGCGGUAAUACGAACUGUGCGAACGUUAUUCGGAAUCACUGGGCUUAAAGGGUGCGUAGGCGGCUUGUUAAGCAGGGUGUGAAAGCCCUCGGCUCAACCGAGGAAUAGCGCUCUGAACUGGCGAGCUGGAGUGAUGCAGGGGUGCGCGGAACUUCCAGUGGAGCGGUGAAAU